AGCGAACGUUAGCGGCGCGCCUAACACAUGCAAGUCGCACGAGAAAGGGAGCAAUCCCCGGUACAGUGGCGCACGGGUGAGUAACACGUAGAUGACCUUCCCUGGAGUGGUGGAUAACCUGCCGAAAGGCGGGCUAAUACAGCAUGGGACCACAUGGUUUUUGACCGAGUGGUGAAAGCGGGCCUCUGUUCACAAGCUCGCGCUCUGGGAUGGGUCUGCGUCCCAUCAGCUAGUUGGUGAGGUAAUGGCUCACCAAGGCAUCGACGGGUAGCUGGUCUGAGAGGAUGACCAGCCACACUGGAACUGAGACACGGUCCAGACUCCUACGGGAGGCAGCAGUGGGGAAUCUUGCGCAAUGGGCGAAAGCCUGACGCAGCGACGCCGCGUGGGUGAUGAAGGCCUCGGUUGUAAGCCUGUGGGNGGACGGAACCGUACGGGGCGGAACGACCCUACCGUACCU
rnacentral:rRNA from 1 species